rnacentral:rRNA from 1 species
GACGAACGCUGGCGGCGUGCUUAACACAUGCAAGUCGAGCGGAAAGGCCCUUCGGGGUACUCGAGCGGCGAACGGGUGAGUAACACGUGAGUAACCUGCCCCAGACUUUGGGAUAACCCUCGGAAACGGGGGCUAAUACCGAAUAUGACAUCCCACCGCAUGCAGGUUUGUGGAAAGUUUUUCGGUUUGGGAUGGACUCGCGGCCUAUCAGCUUGUUGGUGGGGUAAUGGCCUACCAAGGCGACGACGGGUAGCCGGCCUGAGAGGGCGACCGGCCACACUGGGACUGAGACACGGCCCAGACUCCUACGGGAGGCAGCAGUGGGGAAUAUUGCACAAUGGGCGGAAGCCUGAUGCAGCGACGCCGCGUGAGGGAUGACGGCCUUCGGGUUGUAAACCUCUUUCAGCAGGGACGAAGCGCAAGUGACGGUACCUGCAGAAGAAGCGCCGGCCAACUACGUGCCAGCAGCCGCAGUAAGAC